ACUCUCUCUCUUCCUCACAAAGUGGCCGGCCAUCAGCUGCAAAAAUAACCCAAGGAGUUCAUCAUUUUUCAUCUCAAAAUCUUGCACAAAUCAUCUCCAAUUCCUUCCAAAUUUCACACACACUUAGCUUAAUACUUGGAGAUCAUAUUAAGCUGCAAAAAGGGGGAGCUUUUCACGGUUUUCUUGAGCUAAGAGAGGGCCAAAAUUCUGCCUUGUUUACCAACACAAGAUUUGGGCUUGGAGUGAGAUUCGGAGGAAUUUCUCUUUUGUGUACUCUUGUAAUAGGGUUCCAACUCUUUUGUCUAGACUUUUGGGAUAUUAUAUAUUUUGGGUUGUAUUAUGGAAACCCGCUAUAAGAAUUUGAUGAUUGUUAUAUCUCAUUAAGCUUGAACGCUUCCGCGUUAAUUGUAUUUAUCUUUUCUGGUUGUUGAUUUCUAGCACCGCUAUAAGCUUGAAUGGUGAUUGCUUGAGUCCUGACGAGAGUUGGGCAGGCGUUCCGCGGAUACCCUUUGGUUCGCCUUAGGGAGAAGUGGGGGCGUCACAGCUACUCUACUGUUGUACCAUGUAAUUGUAGUAUUACAUAUAUCAAAGCAUUUUCACACACUUUACAUGCA